UUCUAUUGUGUUGAUAUUUUUAUUAUUUUUUUUCUUAGUUAUCACUUAUAUUUUAACUGUCUUUUGAUUGCAGAAGGAUGCAAAGUUGAAGCCGAAUCGUUGAAGCUGUGUGAAACUUUGAAAUUCACAGGUGAAUUUAGUUUGGUGAAGAUGAUGAACAUGUGUGAUAGGUUAUUUUGAAGGAAUUGUCAGGUUAUGCAGAAUUUGAAGGUUCUAUGGAUGGUACUCUAAUGGAAGGUCAAAUCAUGGAGGAAUAUUUGUGCAGAAUUUUAUGGUGAAGGAUCAAAUGAAAUUUGGAGGAAGAAGUUUGAACAAAUGAAUUUUUAACUGUCAUUGACUCAACUUAAUCUAUGUAUCAAUUAUUUAAAUAUUUUAUCAAU